rnacentral:rRNA from 1 species
GUAAGCGUGCGCAGGCGGUUUGUAAGACUGUCGUGAAAUCCCCGGGCUCAACCUGGGAAUGGCGAUGGUGACUGCAAGGCUAGAGUUUGGCAGAGGGGGGUAGAAUUCCACGUGUAGCAGUGAAAUGCGUAGAUAUGUGGAGGAACACCGAUGGCGAAGGCAGCCCCCUGGGUCAAAACUGACGCUCAUGCACGAAAGCGUGGGGAGCAAACAGGAUUAGAUACCCGAGU